rnacentral:misc_RNA from 1 species
GAUGAAGACGCAGUAAAAUGCGAUAAUUAAUGUGAAUUGCAGAAUUCAGUGAAUCAUCGAGUCUUUGAACGCACAUUGCGCCCCCUGGUAUUCCGGGGGGCAUGCCUGUCCGAGCGUCAUUGCUGCCCUCAAGCACGGCUUGUGUGUUGGGCUUCCGUCCCUGGCAACGGGGACGGGCCCAAAAGGCAGUGGCGGCACCAUGUCUGGUCCUCGAGCGUAUGGGGCUUUGUCACCCGCUCCCGUAGGUCCAGCUGGCAGCUAGCCUCGCAACCAAUCUUUUUAACCAGGUUGACCUCGGAUCAGGUAGGGAUACCCGCUGAACUUAAGCAUAUCAAUAAGCGGAGGA